rnacentral:rRNA from 1 species
UUGAACGCUGGCGGCAUGCCUUACACCUGCAAGUCGAACGGUAACGGGCCUUCGGGUGCCGACGAGUGGCGAACGGGUGAGUAAUACAUCGGAACGUGCCCGAUCGUGGGGGAUAACGAGGCGAAAGCUUUGCUAAUACCGCAUACGAUCUACGGAUGAAAGCAGGGGACCGCAAGGCCUUGCGCGGACGGAGCGGCCGAUGGCAGAUUAGGUAGUUGGUGGGAUAAAAGCUUACCAAGCCGACGAUCUGUAGCUGGUCUGAGAGGAUGAUCAGCCACACUGGGACUGAGACACGGCCCAGACUCCUACGGGAGGCAACAGUGGGGAAUUUUGGACAAUGGGCGCAAGCCUGAUCCAGCCAUGCCGCGUGCAGGAUGGAGGCCUUCGGGUUGUAAACUGCUUUUGUACGGAACGAAAAGCCUUCUUUUAAUACAGGAGGGUCAUGACGGUACCGUAAGAAUAAGCACCGGCUAACUACGUG